UGGUGAUUUCUCAAGGAUUUCAGGGAGUCUCUGAACAGGUGAAGUACUGUCCUGAACACAUUCGAGCACUUUGCUGAUGAGCAGUGAUCCAAAAUCAUAAUACCUGUCAACAGGGAAGUGAAUGUUGUUGCUGGCGUGUGCACAGACUCUUUCAACAUUUUAACACCAUCAGCAGUUUGACUGUCCAACACAACAGACUGUAAGUAAAUAAAAUAUUACACUGUCCAAACUUGUUCUGCAAAUGAUCCACUGUGUGUUAAAAUAAAAUAAAACCCUUUAAUCUUUUGAA